GAUGAAGAACGUAGCGAAAUGCGAUAAGUAGUGUGAAUUGCAGAAUUCAGUGAAUCAUCGAAUCUUUGAACGCACAUUGCGCCCCUUGGUAUUCCAUGGGGCAUGCCUGUUCGAGCGUCAUUUGUACCUUCAAGCUCUGCUUGGUGUUGGGUGUUUGUCUCGCCUUGCGCGUAGACUCGCCUUAAAACAAUUGGCAGCCGGCGUAUUGAUUUCGGAGCGCAGUACAUCUCGCGCUUUGCACUCAUAACGACGACGUCCAAAAGUACUUUUUACACUCUUGACCUCGGAUCAGGUAGGGAUACCCGCUGAACUUAAGCAUAUCAAAAGCGGAGGA
rnacentral:misc_RNA from 1 species